ensembl:snRNA U6 U6 spliceosomal RNA
GGGCUUGCUGAAGCACAUAUACUAAAAUUGGAAUGAUACAGAGAAUAUUAUCAUGGCCCCUGCACAAGGAUGACAUGCAAAUUAGUGAAGCAUUCCAUAUUUUU